AUGUCACCCAGGAUCAGAACUGUUGCUCCUAGUUCCGAUGUUCUGAAGAUGGAGACUUCAGACAAGAAUGGGUAUCAGUUGAUGGAUGUUGCCUACCACAUCGACUUUGACGGUUGCAUCAACCUAACUACUGGGUGGAAGGAGUUUGUGGCAGAGUCUGGAUUUGAGGAUGGUGAUGUGGUUACGGAUGCACUCGCUAGGGUUCCUUUGCUGUUGAACGAGCGUUUGGCGGCAGUGAUACUGGAUUGCGUGGCGGAUUUUGUGUUUGCUGUUAAUGACAGGCAUGGUGUUCCUGAGGACAUUGCUGAUGUUGUUAAAGAUAUUAAUGAUGGAAUGUAUUCUCUUAACGUUGAUGAUGGUGAUGGCAGCUUGCAAUUGUCUGUUACCUAG
rnacentral:rRNA from 1 species